UACAGAGGUCCCAAGCGUUGUUCGGAUUCACUGGGCGUAAAGGGUGCGCAGGUGGGCUGGCAAGUUCGAUGUGAAAGCCCGGGCUUAACCCGGGAAUGGCAUUGAAAACUGUCGGUCUGGAGGGUUGGAGGGGGACUGGAAUUCUUGGUGUAGCAGUGAAAUGCGUAGAUAUCAGGAGGAACACCGGUGGCGAAGGCGGGUCUCUGGGCCGAUACUGACGCUGAGGAGCGAAAGCGUGGGGAGCGAACAGG
rnacentral:rRNA from 1 species